GAUGAACGCUGGCGGCGUGCCUAAUACAUGCAAGUCGAGCGAACAGAUGAGGAGCUUGCUCCUCUGACGUUAGCGGCGGACGGGUGAGUAACACGUGGAUAACCUACCUAUAAGACUGGGAUAACUUCGGGAAACCGGAGCUAAUACCGGAUAAUAUAUUGAACCGCAUGGUUCAAUAGUGAAAGACGGUUUUGCUGUCACUUAUAGAUGGAUCCGCGCCGCAUUAGCUAGUUGGUAAGGUAACGGCUUACCAAGGCAACGAUGCGUAGCCGACCUGAGAGGGUGAUCGGCCACACUGGAACUGAGAAACGGUCCAGACUCCUACGGGAGGCAGCAGUAGGGAAUCUUCCGCAAUGGGCGAAAGCCUGACGGAGCAACGCCGCGUGAGUGAUGAAGGUCUUCGGAUCGUAAAACUCUGUUAUUAGGGAAGAACAAAUGUGUAAGUAACUAUGCACGUCUUGACGGUACCUAAUCAGAAAGCCACGGCUAACUACGUG
rnacentral:rRNA from 1 species